CUGCCAGUUGGCCGAGUUGUAGGUGGUGGGCAUGUCGCCCGUGUCGAUCACGUCCUUCACGCCGAAGGGCAGGCCGUGCAGGCGGCUGCGGGCCGGC
rnacentral:tRNA from 1 species